rnacentral:tRNA from 1 species
GGAGGGAUGACUGAGCGGACGAAAGUACUGGUCUUGAAAACCAGCGAGGCGCAAGCUUCCGUGGGUUCAAAUCCCACUCCCUCCGCCA